AGGCUUCACGGUGGUGCAGUUGAGGAGCAGGUUGAGGGCGAGAGGGCUCCG
rnacentral:ribozyme from 1 species